ACGCACGCUGGCGGCGUGCCUCAUCCAUGCAAGUUGAGCGCUGAAGGUUGGUACUUGUACCAACUGGAUGAGCAGCGAACGGGUGAGUAACGCGUGGGGAAUCUGCCUUUGAGCGGGGGACAACAUUUGGAAACGAAUGCUAAUACCGCAUAAAAACUUUAAACACAAGUUUUAAGUUUGAAAGAUGCAAUUGCAUCACUCAAAGAUGAUCCCGCGUUGUAUUAGCUAGUUGGUGAGGUAAAGGCUCACCAAGGCGAUGAUACAUAGCCGACCUGAGAGGGUGAUCGGCCACAUUGGGACUGAGACACGGCCCAAACUCCUACGGGAGGCAGCAGUAGGGAAUCUUCGGCAAUGGACGAAAGUCUGACCGAGCAACGCCGCGUGAGUGAAGAAGGUUGUCGGAUCGUAAAACUCUGUUGGUAGAGAAGAACGUUGGUGAGAGUGGAAAGCUCAUCAAGUGACGGUAACUACCCAGAAAGGGACGGCUAACUACGUG
rnacentral:rRNA from 1 species